rnacentral:rRNA from 1 species
AAUAUUGGACAAUGGGCGCAAGCCUGAUCCAGCCAUACCGCGUGGGUGAAGAAGGCCUUCGGGUUGUAAAGCCCUUUUGUUGGGAAAGAAAUCCAGCCGGUUAAUACCUGGUUGGGAUGACGGUACCCAAAGAAUAAGCACCGGCUAACUUCGUGCCAGCAGCCGCGGUAAUACGAAGGGUGCAAGCGUUACUCGGAAUUACUGGGCGUAAAGCGUGCGUAGGUGGUCGUUUAAGUCCGUUGUGAAAGCCCUGGGCUCAACCUGGGAACUGCAGUGGAUACUGGGCGACUAGAGUGUGGUAGAGGGUAGCAGAAUUCCUGGUGUAGCAGUGAAAUGCGUAGAGAUCAGGAGGAACAUCCAUGGCGAAGGCAGCUACCUGGACCAACACUGACACUGAGGCACGAAAGCGUGGGGAGCAAACAGG